AAUUUUGGACAAUGGGCGAAAGCCUGAUCCAGUCAUGCCGCGUGUGUGAAGUAGGUCUUCGGAUUGUAAAGCACUUUAAGCUGGGAGGAAGGGCAGUAAGUUAAUACCUUGCUGUUUUGACGUUACCGCAAGAAUAAGCACCGGCUAACUUCCUGCCAGCAGCCGCGGUAAUGCGAAGGGUGCAAGCGUUAAUCGGAAUUACUGGGCGUGAAGCGCGCGUAGGUGGUUCGUUAAGUUGGAUGUGAAAGCCCCGGGCUCAACCUGGGAACUGCAUCCAAAACUGGCGGGCUGGAGUACGGUAGAGGGUGGUGGAAUUUCCUGUGUAACGGUGAAAUGCGUAGAUAUCGGAAGGAACACCAGUGGCGAGGGCGACCACCUGGACUGAUACUGACACUAAGGUGCGAAAGCGUGGGGAGCAAACAGG
rnacentral:rRNA from 1 species